rnacentral:lncRNA from 13 species
GUUCAAGUGUCUCCUUAAGGGCAGUAAAACACUUUGCAAAUUUUGUCUUUAAAGAGACAUGUUCAAAGAGAGCAUCCUCUCCCCACAGCCAUAUUCUAUAUACUCAUCAUCAGAGAGCAGCUCAGAACAGGAAAUCCAUUCUCCAGUCAGCCUCAGAAGACACAAUGGCUGGAGCUGCAGCAGGCAUCCUGAAAUACUGAGGACAACAGCCAUAUGUUGGGAAUGGCAAAGCAGGAGGAGAGACACAGCCUGGGCCCAGAUGAUUGUGAAGCCACCACACAAGCCUACCCAGGACUUCAAUGUCAGAGGGGAAGCCUGUAUGCAUUUAAACCACUGUCAUUUGGGAUUUCUGUUGUGUGCAGCUAAGCCUGAUCCUAAAUACAUGCUUACUAACUGGAGGCUGGUGGUUAUUUCAAAGAGGAGCUCUGGGUCCCUGGAUACCAAUCCAUUUUCAGCAAGAGACAUGGUGGGGCAUAGGGAAGAAGGGGGCAGAAUGUCCUGGUGCAAGAUGAGGGUCCUAGUACCGACUCAUCUUGGCUAGUGCUAGACCUCGGGGUGAGUGACCCAUCUCUCCCUAUUUCACCUUCUAGAGACCUCCAUUCCUUCCAGCCAAAGCCUGAAAUCUAGGAGAGACAGGUGCCACAGGAAAGGAGCAUGAAUCAGAAUGAACACAGGUUCAAGUCUUACCUCUGAUUCUUACCAGCUGUGUGGCUUUGGGCAAAAGCCUCUUAACCCUUAAGCCUCAGUUUUAUCCUCUGUAAAGUGGGAAUCAUAGUAACAACUACCUCAAAGGGCUACAGGAAUAAUGUAAGUAAAGUGCCUAGAAUUCAGUUCUUAAAAAUGAUAGCUGUUAUUAUGCAGAUUCAUUAUGAAUUGACAAAAUUAUUUUCAGAGAGAGGUCUUAGGACAAUAGCAUGUUCUCUCUGUAACUGCAGACGGUAGCAAUGC